GUCGGUUCGGCCGGAUUUUACACAAGUGUUGCAUGGCUGUCGUCAGCUCGUGUCGUGAGAUGUUGGGUUAAGUCCCGCAACGAGCGCAACCCUCAUCCUUAGUUGCCAUCAGGUAAUGCUGAGUACUUUAAGGAAACUGCCAGUGAUAAGCUGGAGGAAGGUGGGGAUGAUGUCAAGUCAUCAUGGCCUUUAUGGAGUGGGCUACACACGUGCUACAAUGGUGUCUACAAUGGGCUGCAAGGUGCGCAAGCCUAAGCUAAUCCCUAAAAGACAUCUCAGUUCGGAUUGUACUCUGCAACUCGAGUACAUGAAGUUGGAAUCGCUAGUAAUCGUGGAUCAGCAUGCCACGGUGAAUACGUUCUCGGGUCUUGUACACACUGCCCGUCACGC
rnacentral:rRNA from 1 species